GCUUUCUGCCGGCGAGUGGCGAACGGGUGAGUAAUACAUCGGAACGUGCCCUGUAGUGGGGGAUAACUAGUCGAAAGAUUAGCUAAUACCGCAUACGACCUGAGGGUGAAAGUGGGGGACCGCAAGGCCUCAUGCUAUAGGAGCGGCCGAUGUCUGAUUAGCUAGUUGGUGGGGUAAAGGCCUACCAAGGCGACGAUCAGUAGCUGGUCUGAGAGGACGAUCAGCCACACUGGGACUGAGACACGGCCCAGACUCCUACGGGAGGCAGCAGUGGGGAAUUUUGGACAAUGGGCGAAAGCCUGAUCCAGCAAUGCCGCGUGUGUGAAGAAGGCCUUCGGGUUGUAAAGCACUUUUGUCCGGAAAGAAAUGGCUCUGGUUAAUACCCGGAGUCGAUGACGGUACCGGAAGAAUAAGGACCGGCUAACUACGUGCCAGCAGCCGCGGUAAUACGUAGGGUCCAAGCGUUAAUCGGAAUUACUGGGCGUAAAGCGUGCGCAGGCGGUUGUGCAAGACCGAUGUGAAAUCCCCGGGCUUAACCUGGGAAUUGCAUUGGUGACUGCACGGCUAGAGUGUGUCAGAGGGAGGUAGAAUUCCACGUGUAGCAGUGAAAUGCGUAGAGAUGUGGAGGAAUACCGAUGGCGAAGGCAGCCUCCUGGGAUAACACUGACGCUCAUGCACGAAAGCGUGGGGAGCAAACAGGAUUAGAUACCCUGGUAGUCCACGCCCUAAACGAUGUCAACUAGUUGUUGGGGAUUCAUUUCCUUAGUAACGUAGCUAACGCGUGAAGUUGACCGCCUGGGGAGUACGGUCGCAAGAUUAAAACUCAAAGGAAUUGACGGGGACCCGCACAAGCGGUGGAUGAUGUGGAUUAAUUCGAUGCAACGCGAAAAACCUUACCUACCCUUGACAUGCCACUAACGAAGCAGAGAUGCAUUAGGUGCUCGAAAGAGAAAGUGGACACAGGUGCUGCAUGGCUGUCGUCAGCUCGUGUCGUGAGAUGUUGGGUUAAGUCCCGCAACGAGCGCAACCCUUGUCUCUAGUUGCUACGAAAGGGCACUCUAGAGAGACUGCCGGUGACAAACCGGAGGAAGGUGGGGAUGACGUCAAGUCCUCAUGGCCCUUAUGGGUAGGGCUUCACACGUCAUACAAUGGUGCAUACAGAGGGUUGCCAAGCCGCGAGGUGGAGCUAAUCCCAGAAAAUGCAUCGUAGUCCGGAUCGUAGUCUGCAACUCGACUACGUGAAGCUGGAAUCGCUAGUAAUCGCGGAUCAGCA
rnacentral:rRNA from 1 species